AGAUUGAACCCGCAACCUAGGUGUAUCAGCAUGUGCAGCUCUAACCAACUGAGCUACUCGGCCAAGGCAGAAGUUUUUAUUUUAUGUUUUAAUUAUCUGAAUGAAUCUGCCGUUUUUCUAAAGUUAUUCUAUGGAAGUAGUUCUCAGUUGGGAUAAUUUCUUAUCCCCAACCACUCAUACCCCAGGUGACAUUUGGCAAUGUCUGGGAACAUUUUUGGUUGUCACAUUGGGGGUGUAUUACUGGCAUCUGGUAGUAGGGGCCAAUGCUGUUGCUAAGUAAUCUACAGUGUAUAAGAGAGUCCCCCACAACAAAGAAUUAUCUAGCCUAAAUGUUAAUAGUAUUGAGGUGCUUCAAUGUCAUGAAUAACUUAUUAGAGAACUUUGAACUCUAGAAUAAGUUAUUAAAUAAGGUAGGCCAAAAAUGUUUAUUGAUUAGUUUCACUACAGAGAUUCCCCAUUUUGGCCUGUCUUCCCCUUCCCACAAACCACAGUAAAAUACUGAUAUGGUCUUCAGUGCUUGUAUUAUGUUAAAACAAAAGCUUUUUCUCCAUAGUUAAAAGUAUCUUUUUGGGCCCUGGCUGUUGUGGUUCAGUUGGUUGACAAUUGUCCCAUGCACCAGAAGAUCGCUCGGUUCGACUCCUGGGCAGGGCACAUGCCAGGUUGUGGGCUCCAUCCCUAGUAGGAGGUGUGCAGGAGGCAGUCAAUCGAUGUUUCUCUCUCCCUUUAUCUCUAAAAUCAAUAAAAAAAUAAUUAAAAAUAAAUAAAAUGUAAAAGUGUCCUGUUGGAAUAACUAUUUCAGGUGGCUGUUCGAGAUAGGAUUUUAUGAGAAUCAGCAUCUCCUUAUAGAUAUGGCAAAGCCAGAUGAUAAAAUUGGAUAUUUGUCAUUAAAAAUCUAUGAAUUAUGAUGCUUUCUUGAUGGCAUUUAAAUAACCUUAAAUUCUUUAUAGAAGCAAUCCAUUGAUGUAAUAUCUCUUUUUAUUUUAAGAGUUAUCUAU